AACUUAUAAGUGUUUUGAAAACACUAAACAGACUAAGUCUAGUAGUUU
rnacentral:tRNA from 1 species